rnacentral:tRNA from 1 species
ACUGUUUUGGCAGAGAAGUGCAACGGAUUUAGAAUCUGUAAAUGUAAUUUUGUAAUUACAAAUAGUA